CAGCCGCCGCGGUAAUACCGGCGGCCCGAGUGGCGGUCACUAUUAUUGGGCUUAAAGCGUCCGUAGCCGGGUUGGGAAGUCCUCCGGGAAAUCUGGCCGCUUAACGGUCAGAAUGCCGGAGGAUACUCCCAGCCUAGGGAGCGGGAGAGGCCGAGGGUAUUCCCGGGGGAGGGGGGAAAUCCUAUAAUCCCGGGGGGACCACCUGUGGCGAAGGCGCCCGGCGGGAACGCGUCCGACGGUGAGGGACGAAGGCCAGGGGAGCAAACCGGAUUAGAUCCCCGGGUAGUCCACGCCGUAAACGGUGGGCACUAGGUGUGGGGGGUUAAUCCCUCCGUGCCGAAGCUAACGCAUUAAGUGCCCCGCCUGGGGAGUACGGCCGCAAGGUUGAAACUUAAAGGAAUUGGCGGG
rnacentral:rRNA from 1 species